CAAACUCUGCUAAUGCACUGUUACUGAAUAACAGCGUAGCAGAGAGGAGAGGCCUUGGAAACCCGAAGCUCUGGUUCAAACCGGGGACCUUGCCAUUUACUGGCUAUCUGGCUGGUCCAGCUCCAGGGACGCCCCAAAGCCCAUGCACCACUGACCUGUUAUAACAACUCCUCUGAGCCUCCUGAUCCCCUCUGUAAUAUGCAGCUAGUGUUAUUUGCCACACCUACCUGCAUUCAUUUAGCAAAUAUUAAGUACCUACUAUGUGCUGGGCACGAAAGUCAGUUUCUGGACGCUGAAAAUUAAUGGGAUCUUCACCCAAGGAUCACAUCAACGUGCAGAUCGCAUUGCAAAGGACCUCCUAUUUCUCUAGCCUGGGUGCACCCAGCAUCAACUGAGCAGUUUUUAAAAAUCUACCUGUGCCUCGGCCCUUGCCUGGUUGAAUUGUCAGAGCCUGGGGACCAGCGUCAUUUAAAGCUCUCCAGCUGUUUCUACUACACAGCCAGAUCUAAACUGUAUCGCCUUGUUCUCGGUGACUUGGGAAUCCUCCUUCGGCUGCAGUUGGGCUCCACACUCUACCCCAGGCUAAACCUUCUUUCUCAAACCCUCAGAAGGCAUUCAACCGUGUUAACGCUGCCCACUCACCAAC
rnacentral:lncRNA from 1 species